AUCUCGAGCCCAGUGCAAACAGCUGAGAGGUGUGAUUUCACAGGCUGGCUCCCCCCUGUCAGGAGGCUGAUUGGGCAGAGCAGGAGGUGCAGGAGAGGCCCAGGCUUCUAAAGGACACCAACAGGUGGGAGGCCUCCGUAGAGGGGGGCGCGUCCGUUGGAUAGAUAAGACAGGGCGGCGAGGCCUAAUCUGGACACAAUCCACCGGCUCGACAUGGAGGAGGAUGGUACAUCGGAGAGAAAGAAGAGAGGAAGGAAAGGUUCAGAAACAACUGAGGGAAGGUUGAGGCAAUAGAAAUGGAUGACAGCGGUUGGCUGUGUAGCAUGAGGGAGAAGAUGAAGGAGUAGUUGAAGAGUGAGGGAAGUUAGCAGACAGGAGUGAAGUUAGAGUGUUUUCAGGUUUUUACCUCAGUUUUAUUUAGUAUAGGCACUCUUACAGAGAUAUGUACCGUGUUCGUAUUGUGUGUAUUUAUCACAGCUUCACAGCUUUUUUGGUUUUCUUUGUUGUUGUGAAUUCUCAUUGGUCAUUGGUUUGGUUUGCUACCAGUAUACACUUGGGUUACUACUGGCACUAGGUCUUUAAUUCAGACAUCUGUAAAAGUAUAUCUGUUCCAUGAAAUUCUAUCCAGUAUUGUUGUAUCUUGGCUUCUGGUGAUCUAAUCCCUUGAUGUGUACUGUGUUUUGUGGGAGCAGGCGUUAGAAGAGUUGUUGGAUCUGUCUCUGGUUUACGAGGGAUACAACCCUCUCGGUCAGGACAGUACAGGAGGUAACACCUCUUACAGGUGAGGCCAAGUGUUGGGGGGUUCCUCUGGGGAGGACUCUGAGGCUAAUUUGGGAACUCAAAGGUGUUCUUCCUACCUUUGAAUGAAAUCUUUGAUCUUCACGUAACCAAGUGUGCUUGUUGAAGUUUCGUAGAAGUGGUGGUUUUUCUCUGUGGAAUUUGUGCAGGGAGAGACAAAGGUGAACGAUGACAGUUUAGGCAUCAUUUUAAAAUAUAGGAAGUCAGGAAGAGGUUGGAAUGAUGUUCAGGCUUACUCUAUAACUCCAGUCAGUGUGUGUGUUUGUGUGUGGCAGCACUCCUACACACACACAAUCUGCAGAAGGUCACAAGAUGAUUCCAGGGACACUCACAACGGAAUCACAACUAAGGUAGGAGAGAAACAAGAGGACGUGAUGACAUGUCUUCUCAAUGAUGACUCUACACACAACUACCUUUAUGUCUCUUUCUUUGUCUAUUUCUCUCUCUCUCUCUCUCUCUCUCUCUGUUUGUCUCUGUUUCUCACUCAGUUCAUCCCUUUCUUUUACUAUUCUAUCUACUACUCAAUGGCUACUUUCUCUACCUUUUUCUUUCUUUCUUUCUUUCUCUCUUUUUCUCUCUUUCUCGUACUCCCUCUCGUCCUGAAGCAACACGUCUUGCUGUCGCUGGUCAAAUGGAACCAAGUCAGGUGUUUCUGUGAGGUUUGGUCCCCUUCAACCAGCUACUGCGUCGUGAUUUCAGUCAGCAGCCAUUGGAGGGAACGAAAGAGUGCCGUAGCUCUGUCUCUGCAUGCUGAUGUGACAUUAUGUCUGUUAUUGUUUUUUCAAAUAUUUCUGUUAUAUUUUGAAUGUUGUACCUGUAAAAUAAAGAAUGAUUGACUUGUUGCAUGAUUUCAGUGGGCUUAAAUUUGUCUCUGAAUAAAAUAAUCAAAUCAUGAAAA